CAAUGCCCUACUGCUCUGGUACCAAUUUUCUUUAUUGGUCUAUUCUCACACUGAUAUAAAGAACUCCUUACACUGGGUAAUUUAUGAAGAAAAGAGGUUUAAUUCACUCACAGUCAGGACUGGGUAAAAAUGAGGA